GAAUGGACACGGCCCAAGAAGUCAGGUGGCCAGUUUGGAGGCGCUCAGAUUCCACGGUCCAGGCCCUGACUGCAGCGAGCUGGCCAGGCAACCAGAUGGAUCAGCUCAUGUUAGAAGGUCAGGGACGCGAAGCCCCCGGGAGUCUGAACAGGGAGCUGAGCCUCCAUGAUGUCUGUGGAAGGUGGGGGCUGUGUUGCCUUGGACGACAAGGCCCCUGAGAUUAUCGAUGGAUUGUCUGAUUAUUUACUAAUCCAAUCAGGCCUUGCUUGGUAGUCUGGGUCCACACAAAUGCUUAUGUUUACAUUAUUAAAACUGUAAUAUUCGA